rnacentral:SRP_RNA from 1 species
GCCAGGCAUGGUACUACAUGCCUGUAGUCCCAGCUACCUGGGAGACUAAAGCAGGAAAAUUGCUUGAGUCCAGGAGUUUGAGGCCACAGUGAACUAUGAACAUGCCACUGCACUCUAGCCUGGGCAACAGGCAAUAGAGUGAGACCCCAUCUCAAAAAAAAAAAAAAAAAAAGUUCACCAUCAAUAUGUUGACCUCCCAGGAGCAGGAGACCACUAGGUUGCCUAAGGAGAGGUGAAUCGGCCCAAGUCAGAAAAAGAGCAGGCCAAAAAUCCCAUGCUGAUGUGUAGUGGGCUAACACUUGUGAAGCCACUGUGCUCCACCCUGGGCAAUAUAACAAGACCUCAUUUCU